AGCUUCGGACCUCUUGUGUUGGAGCGGUGGAGCGGCAUUAGGCGUGAGGGAUGAAGGCCAGCGUAUUCCGGCUGCCCCCUCCUUGCAGCACUAAAGAAUCUCGGGGGAGCCGGAAAGGGCGAUGACGUUUGGAGAAGCCCUGGGGCAUUCUUGGCUGCCCGGCCACAGAGUCUCUGCCAAUACUUUUUCCUCUUCUAGAAAUAUAGUUGGUGACCGAAAGAGCAAGCACAAGAGCGUCCUCUCUGCACAAGGCAUGGGAACGGGGAGCUUGAAAGAGCUAAUGACCCCCAAGCCACAUGGAAGGCAAGGGGCCACUGGAGCAGUUUCACUGGUGCCAGGCACUUCUGGAACCCAGGUUGGGCGAGGUUCUUCCAACAGUGCAGACCCCUUGGUCCGUUCACCUUUCCUUUCUCCCUCUCUUGCUUCGUUAAAGACACGGAUCCAUUUUGGAGCUCUGAUGCUUCCCGUUCCUUUUGGACUGAUCCUAGGAUCUCCUUGAUAUAGGGGAACAUCCUGUUGAGGAUGCUCACUCUAACAAUGAAAGUGGGUACCUCCCCCGGUAUGUAUCAUUUUAAAGAAAUCCAUGAUGCUGAGAAGCAAAAGCGAUAGGAGCAAGUUAUAUAGCAAGUAUGUGCCAAAGGAUGGACUUGAACUCGGGUUUUCCUGGAUAUGGGAUCGUUCCUUUGCCCAUUACACCAAGAGUCUUUCUGACUCCAAGGCCAGCUCUCCAAACAUUACAUGAUGCAUCCUCCGCUCUCGAACCCUGUUAACUACAAAUCUGAUAUUGGUACCAGCAGCCUUCAGGUUGACUUUAGAAUCUUCAUUAAAAAAGACUCUGGGCAAUGCUUUGCUCUUUAAUCUCCAAGAAGGGACCAAUAGAACCUGGGAAAAUGCUAACUCUCUUCCAUUUCCUCUCAGUGUGUAUGCUUCCUUUCUUCACAGUAAGAAUUUCACUAAAGCUCUAUUCCUCAUUUAAAGUCCUUCUCUGGUAGUUGAGAUGAUUUGGUUCUGGGCUAAAAUGCUCCUGAAGGAAGAGUUCGACAUCUUUCUCCUGUGUGCUUGAUCUGCCUGGAGGAGAGUGUUCCCCAUAAGUGGAAACCCACUUUGUCAUAUGGCAGUGUAUUGGCUGUGUAUCCCUAACUUCGAGGAGAUGCUUGCUCAGGUGCAAAGGGUUUGAAGGACAAUCUCCCUAGAUGUUUUAGUAUCAAGUUCAGGACAUCCUGAAUAGACAGGACUCUGAGAAAUAAUAUCAGCAAAGUGCACCCUUGGGAGUAAAAUUUAAUUAUUGUCAGGAAGAAAUAGGGUCUGGGAAAGUCUUGUUAAAAUAUCAAUCUGGUUGCUUGGCCUCAAGUAAUGAUCAUUGUUAACGUCUAUUCCUAUUCCUAAGAUUGUUUACAUGUUUUGAUCUGUUCUGGUCAAGCCUUUGAAGGAGUAAGUGAAGGGAAAAAUGUUUGUACAGCUCCUACUGUGUGCUAGACACUGUGCUAAAUUCAUUACAC
rnacentral:lncRNA from 1 species